UACGGAGGGUGCAAGCGUUGUUCGGAAUCAUUGGUCGUAAAGCGCGUGUAGGCGGUUGGGUAAGUCUGAUGUGAAAGCCCGGGGCUCAACCCCGGAAGUGCAUUGGAUACUGUCUAGCUAGAGAGCGAGAGAGGAAAGUGGAAUUCCUGGUGUAGGGGUGAAAUCCGUAGAGAUCAGGAGGAACAACAGUGGCGAAGGCGACAUUCUGGGUCGUUACUGACGCUGAGACGCGAAAGCGUGGGGAGCAAACAGG
rnacentral:rRNA from 1 species